rnacentral:rRNA from 1 species
AUGAUUGAUGGGGGAAUGGUUGCUGCUGUGGGUAUGGUAUGGGAAAUUGUUGUUCGGGGAAUUGUUGUUUGUUUUGCUAGGGAAAUUGUUGUUGUUGUGGCAAUGGUUGCUGUUGUGGAUAUUGUUGGUAUGGGGAAGGUUCUUGUGAUUGCUGGGGUGGGUAUGGUAUUGGAAAUUGUUGUUGGGGGAAUUGUUUUGGUGGUUGCUGGGGGAAUUGUUGUUGGGGGAAUUGUUGUUGUUCAGGGGAUUGUUGUGGCCGGGGGAAUUGUUGUUGCGGUAAAUGUUGUUGUUAUUGCUGGGGGAAUUGUUGUGGUUGCUGGGGGAUUUGAUGUUGUUGGGGGAUUUGUUGUUGGAGGAAUUGUUGUUGUUGGGGGAAUUGUUGUGGCUACUGGGGGAUUUGAUGUUGUUGGGGGAAUUGUUGUGGUUGGGGGAAUUGUUGUUGUUGGGGGAAUUGUUCUUGUGGAGUAUGCAAUUCCUUGCCUCUAG